GAUGAACGCUAGCGGCAGGCUUAACACAUGCAAGUCGAGGGGCAGCACAGGUGGCAACACCGGGUGGCGACCGGCGUAAGGGUGCGUAACACGUGAGCAACAUACCCGUAUCUGGAGGAUAACCGGAGGAAACUCUGCCUAAUACUCCAUAAUAUCAUCGUACGGCAUCGUUUGGUGAUUAAAGAUUUAUCGGACACGGAUUGGCUCGCGGGACAUUAGCUUGUUGGUGGGGUAACGGCUCACCAAGGCCACGAUGUCUAGGGGUUCUGAGAGGAAGGUCCCCCACACUGGAACUGAGACACGGUCCAGACUCCUACGAAAGACAGCAGUAAGGAAUAUUGGACAAUGGUCGGAAGACUGAUCCAGCCAUGCCGCGUGAAGGUUACUGUCCUAUGGAUAUUAAACUUCUUUUGUAUGAGAGCAAUAAGGUGCACGCGUGCACCGAUGAGAGUAUCAUACGAAUAAGCAUCGGCUAACUCCGUG
rnacentral:rRNA from 1 species